GAUGAACGCUGGCGGCGUGCCUAAUACAUGCAAGUCGAGCGAACAGACGAGGAGCUUGCUCCUCUGACGUUAGCGGCGGACGGGUGAGUAACACGUGGAUAACCUACCUAUAAGACUGUGAUAACUUCGGGAAACCGGAGCUAAUACCGGAUAAUAUAUUGAACCGCAUGGUUCAAUAGUGAAAGACGGUUUUGCUGUUACUUAUAGAUGGAUCCGCGCCGCAUUAGCUAGUUGGUAAGGUAACGGCUUACCAAGGCGACGAUGCGUAGCCGACCUGAGAGGGUGGUCGGCCACACUGGAACUGGGACACGGUCCAGACUCGUACGGGAGGCAGCAGUAGGGAAUCUUCCGCAAUGGGCGAAAGGCUGACGGAGCAACGCCGCGUGAGUGAUGAAGGUCUUCGGAUCGUAAAACUCUGUUAUUAGGGAAGAACAAAUGUGUAAGUAACUAUGCACGUCUUGACGGUACCUAAUCAGAAAGCCACGGCUAACUACGUG
rnacentral:rRNA from 1 species